rnacentral:lncRNA from 1 species
ACAUAAGUUGGAAAACACUAAAUUUGCAAGAUUGUUUCUUGUCUUCCUUGCGAUCCUUGGAACAUCGAUGGUCAUUGGCGAUGGAAUUAUCACUCCUUCCAUCUCAGGUCUCUAAAUAUCAAUAUACACUCUCUAUCCCAUCCCUUGAUCAUCAUAUCAAACUAGUACUGCCGAAAUUAGCUCAUAAAGAUAUAAACUGUCCAACCUGCUGAGUAUAUUUAAAUGACGAGUCAAUUUGGGCACAUCCCAAGUCAGCGCAUCUAAAGGUUGGGCUGGUCUUGAGGUAUAAAUAUGUAACCCAAAUUGAGCCAUAAUAUCACUUAUCAAAAGACUUCUAAAUUUUUUUUAAUUAGAUAUGUAAGAUAUAGUCAUACUCCCUCAGUUCUAUAUACACUACUAACAACAACAACGACCUAGUAAAAUCCCACAAUUGGGGUCUGGGCAGAGCAGUGUGUACGCACACCUUACCCAUUAUACACUAACAAUAAAAGAAUUUUUGUACUAUCAAGUCACCCAAAAGAAAACUAUAAGUAAUUGUCAAUAAUAAGUAGUACAAAUAAAAAAGACGGAAAACCUGCUACAACAGAAAAAAUAACACAAAUAAUAAUUAUAUAAGAUAAAUCAUUAUUUAAUCUGGUGUGUUUCAUGUGCAGUUCUCUCUGCCGUAAGUGGGAUCAAGCCUCUAGGCCAAGGUAUAGAAAUUAAAAGGAUGCUAAUGAAUUCUUCUUUUUCUCUUAUUCAAUUUCAAUGAUCAAACAACUGAAAAAAAUGGAUAAUGAUCCUUGCAGAAGCGAUUGUGGGUGUUUCCGUUGCAAUACUGGUAGCCCUCUUCUGUUUUCAACGUUUUGGUACAGACAAAGUGGGAUACUCAUUUGCUCCAGCCAUAUGCAUUUGGUUUUGUUUAAUAAGUGGUACCGGUAUGUACAACUUGUUCAAGCAUGAUGUGAGUGUCUUACGUGCCUUUAAUCCCAAAUACAUUUUUAACUACUUCAAAAGAAAUGGUAAAAAAGGAUGGCUUUCUCUUGGUGGAGUUAUCCUCUGCAUUACAGGUUAGAAUUUUAUUUACAGUAUCCGUAUAAUUAAACGGUUAUACCAUGCUACUUCACGUCUGUGUUCUUAUCUGGUGAAAGACUAUUUUAUGAAACUAUUACAGGAUCCGAAGCUAUGUUUGCUGAUUUGGGUCACUUUAGUGUGCGGUCUGUUCAAGUAAGUCUUCUGCAUUUUUUAUUUUCUUCUUUGCCCUAAGUAAUCAAAAAGAUGUACUUCCUCUUCCCUUUUUAUGUGGCACACUUUUCGUUUUAAAUUGUCCUUUAUUAUAUUUGAUAUUUGUUUCUAGUUUUUGGUCAAUCUAAGUGAACUCACCAUGUAUAUAUAUUGCAGAUAAGCUUCAGUUGCUUAGUAUUUCCAUCUAUCCUCUCUGCUUAUAUUGGGCAAGCUGCUUACCUUACAAAAUUCCCAGAAAAUGUGGGGAAUGCUUUUUAUGCCUCUGUUCCAGGCAAGUCUCCUAUAUAUAUGUGGCAAAUUUGUUAACUUUUUCCAUAUUCGUUAUAUAGAUAUUGAGGCCUUUUGGGUUAAAGCCCAAUGGGAAAACACUGUGAGGCACCAAAGAUCGGACCAAAGUGGACAAUAUUUUGGCAGUUGAGCCUGGGUCGUGAAAGAUAAACUAAUCAUAAAAUUAUUUACUUUAUAAAUACCAUGCAUAAUAUUGAUUUUGUUGGUGUUGCUUACAGAUCCACUUUACUGGCCAACAUUUGUAGUGGCUGUUGUUGCGGCCAUUAUUGCAAGUCAAGCAAUGAUAUCUGGAGCUUUUUCUAUUGUGGCUCAGGCCCAAAGUCUAGGUUGUUUCCCAAGGGUGAAGGUAAUUCACACAUCUGCAAAGCACGAGGGUCAGGUUUACAUUCCCGAGUUGAAUUACUUCCUCAUGGUUGCAUGUGUUGUAGUUACUCUCAGCUUCAAAACCACAGGAAAUUUGGGGAAUGCUUAUGGAAUUUGUGUGGUUAGUGCUGAGCUCAUAACCACAAAUAUGGUGACAUUAGUAAUGCUUCUUAUAUGGAAAAUUAGCAUAUGGCGGAUUAUCUUAUUCUACGUGGUGUACGUUACCAUAGAAUCUACAUAUCUAUCCGCUCAGCUGACAAAGUUCGUGCAAGGUGGUUUUCUACCUUUGGCUUUCUCAUUUGUGCUCGUGAUCAUUAUGGGGAUUUGGCACUAUGUUCAAAAACAUAGAUAUGAAUUCGAGCUCAAGAACAAGGUUUCAAGUGACUACAUUACGGACUUAGCCAAAAAUCCAGACAUCAAAAGAGUACCUGGAAUAGGACUACUCUACUCUGAAUUAGUACAGGGGAUUCCACCAAUAUUUCCCCACUUUGUCUCCAAUAUUCCGUCGGUCCAUUCUAUUAUAGUUCUGGUGUCAAUUAAAUCCAUUCCUAUAAACAAAGUAGCGCUGGAGGAACGGUUCUUGUUCAGACAUGUUCAGCCUAGAGAAUACAAGGUGUUCCGAUGUGUAGUUAGGUUAGGGUACAAUGAUCAACUUGGGAAACCAGAGGAAUUUGAAAACCAAUUGGUGGAACAUUUGAAAGAGUUCAUUCGAGAUGAAUACUAUAUUCUUGCAGCACAUGCUGAUCAAGUUGCAGAUAGAGAAAUUGAACCUGCAGUAUCUGGCCAACUAGUGGCUGGAAAUUCAUCCCGGGUCUACACGGAGGAAGAGCUGGAGCAACAAGUAGAUUCUAGAGUUUCAUCAGCUGGUUCGAUUCGAUCAAUGAACACUUCAGCAGCUCAGUCGAAUCAUUCAUCAAAUAGAAUACAAAUGGUCCCACCAAGUUUGGAAGAAGUAGAAGUGAUGCAGUUUGUGGAAAAAGCAAAGGAGCAAGGAGUGUUCUAUCUCCUGGGAGAAGCAGAGGUGGUCACUAAACAAGAUUCUUCAUUCUUGAAGAAAUUUGUUGUCAACUAUGCCUAUAAUUUCUUGCGCAAGAACUUCAGGCAAGGGGAGAAAGUUAUGGCCAUUCCCAGGACUAGGCUGCUAAGGGUCGGCAUGACUUAUGAAUUAUAAUUGUGACGUAUCAGACAGUAAUAAACUUACUACCAAAUACUCUCAUAACAAACAAACAGAGCAAAAGAUCUCUGCAUUUUUCCUAAAACUUUAUUUUUAUCCUUUAAUACUGUGUGCAAGCUUUCAAUUUGAGUUAAUGUACUAUUAAAACCUGUUUGGAAAUGUUUACUCCCUCUAUCCUCUCUAUCCCAUGUUCUAACUUUGUUUGCCCCUAUUAAUAUUGAUGACUUUCUACUAUUAAAAAACACUCCUUAAAUAGCUCUAAUUUGGAAGAAGUCUAGUCUAGUACUUCGGUAUGACCUUCCUAUAUGUAUGUAAUAAGUAUAAUUUCAACAGAUUAAUGAGUAAACGUAGAAAUUCACGCUGAAAACAUAUAUUGACCAAGGUGUUUCGACCUUGAAGUAGAAUGAGAAACAAGAAAAGGAACAAAAUUAGUCUGAUCAGCUUCUCUUCCCGAUAGAGCCUUAUCCCCACCAAUAAGAUUUGAUCAGCAUAUAUAACACUAAAUUUGUAUCUGUCCUGAACCAUUUACAUUCAGCAGAGCAAACAUUGGACUAAAAUCUUGGAGAGUUCAUGCUAAUAGCAUGAAGCACAAUACUACAAUAUUGCAUUUCAUUUUCAAAAAAUAUUUUCUGAACCAUAGAAAACUAGAAGAACAUCAGUAACAAGGUAAUACCUGGAUUUUUGAGCUGUCAAAUAUAAAACCAUUUAGGGCAUAUGUUUUGCCACUGAAAAGUACACAAAAGCAAAUUGACCAUGAGUCCAUGAUUUACCAAACGAACUACACAGAUCUGAACAGAAAAAGAAAGCAUACGAAAGAGAGCAUUAGCAAGUCAAAAUUAACUCCGAAAGAAGCACUUCAUGAAACAUCCCAAAAUAUACUCCAAUUGAUUUAUUACACUUAUUAUCAGGACAAUCAACACAUAGUUCCUUAAUUCCCUAUUACAUUUCAUGAUUACAACAAAUAAAAAAAAAAUUUAAAAAAAGUAGCAUUGUGUAAAGGAAUCAGUACAAAGUUCACCUACAAAAUAAAGAGAAGAAAGCAAACAAUCUCUAACGAGCAAAGUCACAGAGACUUACCGGUAGAACGACGGUUGCGAAAGGAAGGAGAAGCGGAGAGGCAAGUCUAGCCUCUUUCCAGUCACUGAUCAGCAUGGGCGAAGUAGCCGUCGAUCGAGAGAAAAAAUGACAAAGGCUAAUUGGUUUUUAAUUUGGG